rnacentral:rRNA from 1 species
UUCCGGUUGAUCCCGCCGGACCUGACUGCUAUCGGAUUGAUACUAAGCCAUGCGAGUCUUUGCAGUAAUGCAAGGCAGACGGCUCAGUAACACGUAGUCAACUUACCCUAUGGACGAGGAUAAUCUCGGGAAACUGAGCAUAAUACUCGAUAGAUCAUAAUGCCUGGAAUGGUUUAUGGUUAAAACGAUUCGUCGCCAUAGGAUGGGACUGCGGCCUAUCAGCUUGUUGGUGAGGUAAUGGCCCACCAAGGCGAUUACAGGUACGGGCUCUGAGAGGAGAAGCCCGGAGAUGGGUACUGAGACAAGGACCCAGGCCCUAUGGGGCGCAGCAGGCGAGAAAACUUUGCAAUGUGCGAAAGCACGACAAGGUUAAUCCGAGUGAUUUCUGCUAAAGAAAUCUUUUGCAAGUCAUAAAACCACUAGUGAAUAAGGGGUGGGCAAGUUCUGGUGUCAGCCGCCGCGGUAAAACCAGCACCUCAAGUGGUCAGGAGGAUUAUUGGGCCUAAAGCAUCCGUAGCCGGCUCUGUAAGUUUUCGGUUAAAUCCAUGUGCUCAACGCAUGGGCUGCCGAAAAUACUGCAUAGCUAGGGAGUGGGAGAGGUAGACGGUACUCGGUAGGAAGGGGUAAAAUCCUUUGAUCUAUCGAUGACCACCUGUGGCGAAGGCGGUCUACCAGAACACGUUCGACGGUGAGGGAUGAAAGCUGGGGGAGCAAACCGGAUUAGAUACCCGGGUAGUCCCAGCUGUAAACGAUGCAGACUCGAUGAUGCAUUGGCAUAUAGCCAGUGCAGUGUCGCAGGGAAGCCGUUAAGUCUGCCGCCUGGGAAGUACGUACGCAAGUAUGAAACUUAAAGGAAUUGGCGGGGGAGCACCACAAGGGGUGAAGCCUGCGGUUCAAUUGGAUUCAACGCCGGG